rnacentral:rRNA from 1 species
UGGGGAAUUUUGGACAAUGGGCGAAAGCCUGAUCCAGCAAUGCCGCGUGUGUGAAGAAGGCCUUCGGGUUGUAAAGCACUUUUGUCCGGAAAGAAAUCCUUGGCUCUAAUACAGUCGGGGGAUGACGGUACCGGAAGAAUAAGCACCGGCUAACUACGUGCCAGCAGCCGCGGUAAUACGUAGGGUGCAAGCGUUAAUCGGAAUUACUGGGCGUAAAGCGUGCGCAGGCGGUUUGCUAAGACCGAUGUGAAAUCCCCGGGCUCAACCUGGGAACUGCAUUGGUGACUGGCAGGCUAGAGUAUGGCAGAGGGGGGUAGAAUUCCACGUGUAGCAGUGAAAUGCGUAGAGAUGUGGAGGAAUACCGAUGGCGAAGGCAGCCCCCUGGGCCAAUACUGACGCUCAUGCACGAAAGCGUGGGGAGCAAACAGGAUUAGAUACCCUGGUAGUCCACGCCCUAAACGAUGUCAGCUAGUUGUUGGGGAUUCAUUUCCUAGUAACGUAGCUAACGCGUGAAGUUGACCGCCUGGGGAGUACGGUCGCAAGAUUAAAACUUAAAGGAAUUGACGGGGUCAUAGCUGUUUCCU